CUCCUCUGGCAGUCUGCAGCAUGCCAGAUGACCAAACCCUCUCUCCAUUGUCCCUGCCCCACGUUAAUGUUUGACCAGAACAGACUAUCAUCCUACUUUCGGGUUGUACCAGUCAAAUUGUGGGGAUGGAGGCAGCUCCCGCCACCUUAGCAUCCAGGUCACAGCAAAGUUCAAGGAACUUAUGGUAAAGAUCAAUCACACUUAUGGCACUGCCAACAGAAGCACAUGCUUGUGGAAAAUAGCGUAAAAGAAUUUUAAGGAGGAGAGCUGGGCUCUGAAUUACACCGGAGGCAGAGCGUCUGGACAGUUUUCAUCAGAAGCCACGUCCUAGAGGUAGCGAGCUGUAAACAGUCGUUAAAAGCAACGGAGGAAUGUGUUAGGGUGGGCCCAGGAAGGUGUCAGGCCACGGCGGGCACGUGAGGGAAUGGGCACAGCCUUCAUUGUAGGCACAGAAGCUGGAGCCAGCGGGAGGAGGCAAGCGGGCAACCGAACAGAAUGAUGAGAAAAACCGAAGCUCAGGGAACAUUUCCAAGACCAAGAGCUGAGAACGCUGCGGAGCUGAAAUUUAAAUCCAGUUUGUCAGACCCCCCCAAUCCGACAUUGUCCCCUCGUCCUGCCAUGGCCCAUAUCCCAGGAGGACCUGUCACCAUCCUCCACCUUGGCAUAUUUAUGUCAACAGGAGGCCAAAUCACUGCUGGGUGAGUGACCCACUGCUAGGAAGAUGCCCAGACGCCAACUGGGAAAAGCUUGGCCAAGCCAAUCAGGUGCUGCCAGAGCCUUCUUUGUGAUAGCAAUGCCAACCCAUGAACUAAUACCCUCCUUUGGGAGAGAUGCUGACACGCCAAGGAAACUAAUGUUUUUAUCUCAGCUGACUCAUUUGCUGAGAACAACAGGUUUAUAAGGCAACUCUUAGCUUGACCCACUCUACUCCUCCAUCAAAAUAAAGAAAUAAAUAAAGUUUUCAAACUAAAGAGCAUUAAAGAAUGAUAACUUUUCUUUUUCUUGGUACUAUCUAUUGACCUAUACCUGGUUUUCACUGUAACACAUUUGUGGUAUGAAAAAUGACAAUAUGAUGUCAGAGAAAAUGAGAG
rnacentral:lncRNA from 10 species